rnacentral:rRNA from 1 species
CUACGGGUCGCUGCAGUGAGGAAUAUUGCACAAUGGGGGGAACCCUGAUGCAGCAACGCCGCGUGGAGGAUGACGCAUUUCGGUGUGUAAACUCCUUUUAUAUGUCAAGAAAAUGACGGUAGCAUAUGAAUAAGCACCGGCUAACUCCGUGCCAGCAGCCGCGGUAAUACGGAGGGUGCAAGCGUUACUCGGAAUCACUUGGCGUAAAGGACGCGUAGGCGGGUUGGAAAGUCAGGUGUGAAAUCCUACAGCUUAACUGUAGAACUGCACUUGAAACUUCUAAUCUAGAGUAUGGGAGGGGGAGAUGGAAUUAGGGGUGUAGGGGUAAAAUCCGUAGAUAUCACUAGGAAUACCUAAAGCGAAGGCGAUCUCCUGGAACAUUACUGACGCUAAGGCGUGAAAGCGUGGGGAGCAAACAGGAUUAGAUACCCGUGUAGUC